CAACUACUCCCUCUGUCCCAAAUUUCUUGUCUUAGAUUUGUCUAGAUAUGGAUGUAUCUAAUACUAAAAUGUGACUUGAUACAUCUGUAUCUAGACAAAUCUAAGAUAAGAAUUUUGGGAUGGAGGGAGUACUUU
rnacentral:pre_miRNA from 1 species